rnacentral:rRNA from 1 species
CGCAAGCCUGACGGAGCAAUACCGCGUGAGGGAGGAAGGCUCUUGGGUUGUAAACCUCUUUUCUCAGGGAAGAAGCUCUGACGGUACCUGAGGAAUCAGCCUCGGCUAACUCCGUGCCAGCAGCCGCGGUAAUACGGAGGAGGCAAGCGUUAUCCGGAAUUAUUGGGCGUAAAGCGUCCGCAGGUGGCGAUUCAAGUCUGCUGUCAAAGCACGGGGCUUAACUCCGUUAAGGCAGUGGAAACUGAAUGGCUAGAGUGCCGUAGGGGUAGAGGGAAUUCCCGGUGUAGCGGUGAAAUGCGUAGAUAUUGGGAAGAACACCAGUGGCGAAGGCGCUCUACUGGGCCGUAACUGACGCUGAGGGACGAAAGCUAGGGGAGCG